UCGUGAGGCCUGUGAGUGUCUAGGGUUGUCCUGGGUGCCUGGGGCUGACUGUGGCAGAAAUCUGGGGAAGGCUGGAGAGAAGCUGGGAGACCCAGGAGAGUCCCUGAAGGCAGGGGGUGAAGAGGUGAAAGAAAUGGGGGAGGGUUGCAGUAAGGUCCGUGAGUUUGUAGGUGAUUCCUGGGUGCGGGAAGCUGACUCCAGGUGAAAUCUGGAGAUGGUUGGAGAGUAGCUGAGAGAGACAGAAGAGUACCUGAGGGCUGGGGGUGAGAACAUGAGGGAGACUGGGGAGUAAGUCAGUGAAAUUCGUG
rnacentral:lncRNA from 1 species